rnacentral:tRNA from 1 species
UCGAAAUNNNUAGACGCUACGGACUUAAAAUCCGUCGACUUUAUAAGUCGUGAGGGUUCAAGUCCCUCUAUCCCCA